rnacentral:lncRNA from 1 species
UAACGUAAACGGAGGGAAUAGUCAACAUAUAGUGGGCUAAUAGACCCAACUACAAACCAUGGGCUAACAUAUUCGAUUACAAUUCACUUUUAUAAUAAUUACAUAAAUAAAAAUGUUGUAAAUUUAUAAUAAAAUUCAUGUACUUAUAUAUUAUAUAAAUUAUUUCAACCAAUAGUGGGCUAACGAAUCCUAUUACAAUUCACCUUAAAUAAAAUUGUUGUAAAUUUCUAAUACAAUUUAUGUAAUUACAAAUUAUAUGAAUUAUUUUUUUAUAUGUUGAUCAAUUAUACUAAUAUUGCAUAACCCACAAUUAAUAGAUACAUGGACUGCGGAGCCCAAAAUAAAAUCCAGUAAAUCUUCUCAGAAGGUCACAUAUUUGAUUGAAAAUAUAGUAAAAAAUCUGUCACAUAACAGUUAGAAAAUCCGAUAUAAUAUAUUGACAAAAAGAUUAACUCUGAUGUUUAUCUCUUUAUCUCUUCAUAUAUGUAUUUGAUGUAGAGAGUUCACCCCAUUUCUUUUUUUUUGUUCACUCCCUCCUUUGUAUCAGCUUAUAGACAUCUGCUAGUAUUAUACAGCAGCAGCAGAAGCCAUAUAUAUUACACGGUGAAUUAAUCAAUCACAAGGCGGCCGUAAAGCUGCUGGCCGUCGGCCGGCGGCGGCACCCGGCCACGGCGUAGCUCCUGGCGCACGUGCUGAGGCACACCGCCAUCACCUUGCUGUCCGGGUCGAUCUGGCUGCACAUGGACAGCGCGCACGCGUGCUCGCAGUCACCGGGAAAGCGGCCGGCGCCGGCGCCGGCGCCGGCGCCGGAGAAGCAGCUGUGGUAGCACGAGAACUGGCAGAACCAGUACUCCUCGCGGGGCACGCACUGGUCAAAGCACGCGUGGAAGCAGGGCGGCCUGAUGAUGAUGCCCGCCGCCGCCUCGGCACCGCCGGCGGCCGCGGUCACCACCACGGCUGCCGCCUCGGCCGCCAGCAGCAGCAACGCCAGAGGCAGUGCCCUCNNNNNNNNNNNNNNNNNNNNNNNNNNNCCGGCGCCGGCGCCGGCGCCGGCGCCGGAGAAGCAGCUGUGGUAGCACGAGAACUGGCAGAACCAGUACUCCUCGCGGGGCACGCACUGGUCAAAGCACGCGUGGAAGCAGGGCGGCCUGAUGAUGAUGCCCGCCGCCGCCUCGUCACCGCCGGCGGCCGCGGUCACCACCACGGCUGCCGCCUCGGCCGCCAGCAGCAGCAACGCCAGUGGCAGUACCUUCGCCGAGGCGCCUCCAGCGAUGGUCGCCAUUGCCACGAGGAAUGGGGAGGAGGUAGGCCGGCGCGCAUGGAUGUGACGCAGCUGCGCGCCAUGGGAGUUAUGGAAGCUGAGGCGUGCGGGCGUGUAGGUCAUGGUUUCGGUGUGACGCUGACCGCCUCACGCUUCUCUCUAGUCCGGUUCGGUGUCAGGAUCAUUGGGUAAGUGGGCCAAACGGCCCAAACAAGGGCCUGGUAAGCACAUUAAAACUAGGGCAAUGGAGCGAGGUGGUGGGGAGCAUUUAUUUAUUUUUUUUGCCACGACUACGUCUUACAUAUUUAACAUUUAAUGUGUCUGACAUAUUGAUUAAAUACUAAAUCUAAAGGUGAUAAAAUUAUUAAAUAUCCUCAAUACGGGUAGCCAAGGCUAUACGUAAAGCUCAUACACGACCCGAUAAAACGCAAAGAAACUAAGACAUUGUCAUUUGAGAACCGAGGUAUAAGAUCAUAUGCUU